UAAAAAAAUUUAUGCAUUAUGUCAAGGAUUCUGUUGGUCGAUUAGCAAUGAGGUAUACAUUAUUUCAUCAAAUUCUGAAUUUGAUUAAGUUCCAAUGUCGAAGUUAUCGUCUUCAUCGCUAUUUCUUCUUCAACUACAAAUGUGAUAUGUCAAUGUGGACGUUGUGGAAAUUAAGAACUCAUGGACGCAAUCAAACCUUGGACAUAGGUUCCUUUGUUGCAAAACUUCAAAGGCACGAUGUGGAUCUAGAUAUUUUCGAUGGUAUGAUGAUGAAAUGCCAGCUCAAACUAGGAGGGUGAUAUGGGGCUUGUUGAAAAGAGUCAAAAAAUAUGAAUUGGAUAACUAUCGAUCAAUAAAAGUAUGGAUGAUAUGCAUUGUCGUAGGGGUGAUAUUGACUACUUGGAUUUGUGCAACAAAAUGAUCUUAGUUGGUUCAUUUGUCUUCUACUAGAUUCUAUCAUAAAAGUAUGAAUGGUAGAUUUUACUAUUCUUUAUGAGGGAAAAUUUGAUUGGAUUUCUGUUGUAAAUGCCUUGUGUAUUUAUUGUAAUGAUUUUAUUUAUGGAA